UACGCAUCGGUGGAGGUGAGGACUCGGAGAAGGCGUGUGUCUGCCGGCUGGGGAGAGAGGCCUCAGAAGAGACCAACUCUGGAAUAGCUCCAAGGAAACAGGUUCAGAGAUGAGAUUCCCCACAUCACGUGCUCGUCAGUCUGGAGUCCCCUCUAAGAGCGCUACACUCCCUUCUGGGUUUAUCUACACAUCUAGGGUGAAUUCCACGGUUAUCUCACAGAACUGUUUUGGAAACCCUGGGGAAGCUUAUUUUAUGGAAAUUUCCUGAGGAUAUAGAAGGUGCCAAGUUAGGAGGAAAAUAAAAACUCAAUCCCCAAAACAACUGGUAGAAGCAGUCUUUUCAGAAAGAUUUCAGUUAAUGAAGUUGACUCCUGAAACAUUACUUGGAAGAUCUUCACACAAGUGAGUGCAAUCCUUCAUCCUCCUCAAAUGCUGGAGGGGUAGGGAGUGGGGCACCUAAGUCACUUGAGCCUGAUAAGAUGGGUGUGCCUAGCACUGCUCAGUUGGCUCUCAUAACCUUCGAAAAAAAUCGAGUAUUUGUAUCUAGACUCCAGUCUGAUUCAGGCUCCCAGCCCCCAACCCACAAGCUUAAUGACGUACUGAAAUCCCAGUGACAACUUCCACAUUACUUACUAGGAAAUGCACACAUUUCAAGUGCAUAUGCUAGUAGAUACUUAGACCGUUUGUAAUGACACUGGGUCACAAACACUAUUACUUGGGUCUUUUCAGAGCCCUUCUUUUUUCUUCAGGGGCAAUAGACUUGGGCAGAGUGUAAUUGGACACAAAGCACGCAAAGAUCUGACACAGCUCCUGCUUCCUGAGUGUCUCAAGCCCACAACCGACUUAUACAGGGUCCUUCAACUUUUUUUUCCUUUUCAUUUCACGUUGGUGAAGUGCGAAUUCUCCUGGGGCAAUUUAGCCUUCUGGUAAAAGGGAGUCUCCUGGAUUACCUCUGGCGCGCUGUGCAGGGCUUCCGUAUACCCCAGGGACAGCAGGCUGGAGCUGUCUGCCUUCUCAGCUUCACAUUCUGAAGAUGAGGGGCCGCCCCCUAGUCACAGGCUUGUCAGUUCAGUAUACCUUCUUAAAUUUCCUAACUGACGGCGCAGUCCCGAGGCCGCAGGGCCUUUGGGAAAGCCCUCUGGACAGGGGCAUGAAGUAUCGGUGGCUGCUAAGCCUUCCACGUUUCAGCGAGAGCUUCCUACGGGGUGGUCGGAGGAGAGACGAAGGCUCUCCUGCCCUGGAGUACAGUUUGGCUCCGAUCCACCCAACUUGGAGGCUACAGAAGCACACAGAACUCGGGCGGCGGUAGCACAGGCCGAUUUUCUGCUCUUCUCCGCACGCUCUUCCGCCCGCGCCACCCUAGCCCCCGCCCCUCCGCCCUCCUCACAGGAACCAGCGCCCUCACCGCUCCCGCGCUUCUCCACUGCCACCCGCAGUGGCCUGCCUUUUAUAGGAGUUGUAGCCAAUGAGGACUCGCCUUGCCUUCUGCCCGCCCGCCUGGCCAAUCCCCGCGCCCCUUGUGUAAUCUUCGGCUCUUCGGCUGCUCUCGGCUAUUUUCGUUGUUGCUGGCUUUUUCAGGGGCUGCUCGUUCGCAGCCAGAGACGCUUCUUUUUUUUCCGGGUUCGGAGCCGUUCCGGAUGCUCUAGGGUGCCGGAUGUCUGAUCUCCGGAUAACUGAGGCGUUUCUGUACAUGGAUUAUCUGUGUUUUAGAGCACUCUGCUGCAAGGGACCACCGCCCGCACGCCCAGAGUAUGACCUGGUCUGCAUAGGCCUCACGGGCUCUGGCAAGACCAGCCUGCUGUCCAAGCUCUGCAGCGAAAACCCUGACAGCAUCGUGUCAACCACAGGUUUUAGUAUAAAAGCAGUGCCAUUCCAGAAUGCCAUCUUGAAUGUAAAAGAACUUGGAGGGGCUGAUAAUAUCCGGAAAUACUGGAGCCGCUACUACCAAGGAUCUCAAGGGGUAAUAUUUGUAUUAGACAGUGCCUCUUCAGAAGAUGAUUUAGAAACUGCUAGAAAUGAACUGCACUCAGCUCUUCAGCACCCACAGUUAUGCACUUUACCCUUUUUAAUAUUGGCCAAUCAUCAAGACAAGCCAGCUGCUCGAUCAGUACAAGAGGUAUGUCUUGAUAAGGUGACAGCUCUUUAUCUUAUUUCUUGCACUUGUGCUGCCAUGUUGGAAUCUGAAAAGAUUCUUAUAAUUAGAAUGCAUGCUAGUUACACUGUUUUUCAAUGUGAAACCUUAAUUUUUGGGGAGGGGGGAACAGAAAGCCUAUACUGGUUCUACUUGGGGACCAUAGUUUUUUUUGUUUGUUUUUUUUUUUAACUGUUUAGCAAAAGUUAAAGGACUUAUCUGAAUGUAUUUCUCAUCUAUUUUUAAUGGCUAAAGGCCUGGUCAUUUAGGUCAAUUAACUUUUUUUUUUUUUUUUACUCCACUACCUUACUUAUUGCAUUCUUCUUUUCAAGGAAUGCAUCGUGCUUUAUCACCAUGCAUCACUUGCCCUCAGAUGUCAUGUUCUUGUCCUUCUGAAAUGCUCACUGUUGACUAGAAGCAGUGGGUUCUCUUCUGGAAUCAGCCAGGCUGAAAACUGAUAUCUUAUCUUGCAAGUUCCAUGCUACCAAAUACAUUUUAGUACAGACUGAUUCUUUAUCUUCCAUAUUUAAUUUCAUUUCUUAGCUUGUUUCUCUCCUAUAAAAGCAUGAGACUAAUUCUGAACAGAUAAAAUCAGUGUCUUAGCAGAACUUCUGAUUCAUGGUAUUCAAGUAAUAAGAUAUGUGAAUAGCUUUUCACAACUUAUAGUGAAUUUUAACCUUUAAGUACAGUGAAAUCAAAACUUCUGAUGUCUGAUAUAUUCUUUUAUACCUGUAACUUUCAGGAUAUAGUCCAUCACCACCCUCCCCUUGGAAAAUUGUGCACUUCUUUUAUGUGACUUUAGAAUAAUAAGAACCACACUGCUCUUUAGUCUGAAAAAUGGAUGAGGAGCCAAGGACCGAACAUGUUCUAACUCUAAACUCACUAACACCUAGUGUGGGACCCAUGGACAGUUAAUCAGUUUGUCCCUGUGCCAGUCUUCUUGCCUGUAAAGUGGGAAUGAUGUGAUUUUUUUUUUUUAAAUGAGGAGUGGGAUUAAUUUGUUAAUUCACUUUGAAGUUUAAAGCACCAAGUGUAUAGGAGGUACCAGAUAGAGAGAAUUUUCAUUUAUUUUAGAAAAAUAUAAAAAAGCAAAGGUUUAUUAAGUAGAGAGAACUCAUGUGUAUCUUUAGUUGUCUCAUUCAGCAUUAAGUAGUUAGGACUUUUUUUCUUUUUAGAUUUUGUGAAAUACCUUAUAGAUAAUAUUUAGUGAUUAAGAUUAAGAAGAGCAAUACAAAUCUAUUCAGAGUUACCAGUGUGUAGAAAUUCAGCAUUGUAGUUGUCGUGCCUUCCUGAUCUGUUCUUAAGACCUCAGGUACAUCUUUUAACUUCUUAGCACCAGUUGUUCUAUCUGUAAAAUGGUUAUAGUAAUGUAUAGUGAAUGGUUAGUUUAUGAUUAUAAGGUACUUUGCUGAAAAAUGGCAUUCUGAGAUGCAUUGUGGGAAAUAUAAUGUAUGUAUGUAUUACAGAAAACACAGUAUAACAUUUUGUAUGUAUAUGUAUGUAUUACAUAUAUAAUAACACGUGUAUUAUAUGUGUAAUAAUAUAUACAAACAUUCAUAUAUGAAUGAAUAUAGAAUAUAAUAUGAAAGAUAUAAUACCAACAAUUUCAAAUCACUUUAUUCAAGUUAUGUGCAAUAGCUGAAAAGAUUUUUUUUUUUUUACUGCUUUUAAAUUUAAGAAACUGUUUAUAUGUUUCCAUAGACAUCAAGAAAAUUGAAACUACUGUGUUCUUUAAACCUAAUACAUGACUCACGGUAAUCCUUCGUAGGAAUUCAAGACUGUUACAUUGAAUAAUGGAAGCUUUUAACAAUUAAUUGCUUUGGAGUGUGUGUGUGUGUGUAUGUGUUGGCUGGCUGUCUCUUCUAGGAAGAGGGCAACUAUCUUCGUGAUUCAUCAUUUAGAAAGAAGAGGCUUUAAAUGUAGAAUAAUCAUAGAUAUACUUUAAAAAGUAUUCCAAGCUUAUAUAUGCUGGAGCAUAUAACUUUGAAUUUCCUUUUUAUUUGUAUCCAUUUUAAAUGAAUUUUCCUCAAAAUUUCAGCUUGUGAUGGCAUUUGCAAAUACUAUUUUGAGCCCUGUUUUAAGUAAAGCACUUUCCCUAUGAUUGUAUAAACACAUACUCUACCAUGGCAUGUUAGCAUUUUAGAUGGCUCUAAUUGAAUACAUAGACAAAGUCCAUUGUAGAUCUUGAACUUUGUCAAAACAGAAUAAGGUGUUUAAACUUACUUUGGAUUCUUGAGAAAGAAUUGCAAACUGCCUGUUUUCCUCCCUGCUUGAAUGACAGAGAUUCCUCAGUAUAUUAUGAUGCUUUGUUGAAGUACUCCUAGGAAUGUUUUAGGAAUUAAACCAACACCUUAUUGUUAGCAUAAAAAUGGAAUUGUGAAAUUGAAUCUUAAACUUUUUAUAAACAGUAACGUCAAAAUGGUUGGGAAUAGGCAUAAGUAGAAGAGGAGAUAGAAGUGAGCAAAGUUCUGUGUUAUUUGAAAUGAGAACUGGUCAGGUUUAUUACUUUCUUUCCUGAUCCUAAAGCUAUUACAUAGCCUGUGCUCUGUUGCUUAUAAACAUUUUUAUUCAUUUGUAUUUGCUAGUUUGUGUGCACUUGGUGGAAUUUCCGAACGCUGAAAAGAUGAUGUUUUACUUUGCAAAUAAAAUACCUGUGAAUUUUAGGUGAAAAAUAGGUGCUUUCACAAUCAGGGAAGAUGCAUCUAGUUUACCAAAAAGCAUAGGAUUCUUGGAUGCAGUUAAGAAAAGAUGAGUCUUAGAGACUCAUUGAUUCUUCUCCUCACAUUGAAAUUAUUACAUUUUGUGCUUAAUGCAUUAUGCAAAAAAAAAAAAAAUGUAAUUACGUAUCCAGUCACUGGAGUAAAACUUGUAAGAAUUCAUUUGUCAUUUAAUGAGGAGAUCAGAUAGUGUUGUGUUUAGAAGCUGGUAGGAGCUAGUGAAAUCCAAAGGAGAAAGCUGAAUUAUCGGUAGGAUUCCACAAAGGAUGAAAAGCAUCAGGAAGUUAUAUAUUUAGUUCCCUCCUCUAUGCUGGGAGCUCUGCUAGGUUUGUGUUAAGAACUUGAUUAAGAUAGGAACAAUGGUUAAAAUUACUAUGUAUCCCACAGACAGAGGGCAACAUGCCCAGUUAUUUUGUUGCCCUUUUAGAAAGCAAGUGGAGUCUUGUGCAUUGCAUAGUUUCCUUUCUGUAAUAUACCUGAUAAUGACCUGUGUUUAAUUUUCCAGAAUUUUAAGAUUUUAUGUCUUGAGAAUUGAUAGUAGAAACAUGUUUUUAACAAAUAAGUUUUGUGGGUUUGUUUUUUUUUAUUUUCGUAAUAGCAAAACACUGGGAAAAACAACACCCUUUACAUACUGUCUCAAAGCCAAGCAAUUCUUGCAACAGAUGUUUGUUGUAUUCACUUUGGGGAGGUGUAGUUACCACAGUUUUCCAGAAUUUACUCAUAUCAACUAGUUUUUUCUAUAGAAAACAUCAUAUAACAAUCUAUAAUUAUGUCAAGUGGCCCAUUUGAUUCAUUAGGGAAAAUGCUGGUCUAAUUUAAAUGAUAAAGCCUUCUGAAACAAGAAUCAUUUUCAGGGUAAAUAGGUUGGGGUUUUUUUAUUUGUAUUGAAUUGUAAUUGUAUCUAAUUUGUUUUACAACUCCCAUAGGAGAGCAUACUUCAGUUCUGAAGUUAUUUAAUAGAUCAGGAGGAUUUUAUGAGAAGUUAAGUUGAUAGAGUAGCCAAUAAAUGUAAUCCUAUCUUCCCUCCACGGGGCAGUGGCUGAUUGUGAUUCUUUUACCUCUUAGCUUUUUCAAAUCUUAUUUUCAUUUUAUUGGCUAUUACCAUGGUCUCAUAAAAUGACAUGGUUUUUGUCAACAUGAAAUAGUUUAUCCUUUCAGCAAUCUAAUCUGAUUUGAUAUUCAUUCAUAUCCUUAAUCUAGAAGUAUUUAACUUUUAAAAAUAAUCCAUCCAAAAUACUGACUUAACUUGAAUAACUUAUAGUAAACCAAAUAUUAAGAAGUGUGAAAGCUGUGAAACAGAAUUUUGAAGUGCAUUUUUAAGGUCAUAUGACACUCUUGGUUGUCUGCCUCAUUAAUUGUAACAUGGGAAAAUCCACUUCUAAAUUAGAUUGUCGAUAUUAGAGCUGAAAUUUGUUCUCUCUUAUUUCUCAAUUUUUGUUCAAUUAUAAUUUAAUUUGUUAUCAUGAUGUACAUAGAAUGUGGUGUUCUAUUUGAGAAUAGAAGAAUAUUUGAAAGUAUUUCUGUAAUUAAAACAUUACUUGUUUAGACCAUGUUUUGUUUUGACAAUUAAUGUUCAUAUUUUUUGAGUAAUGCUUUCAAUAUUGUAUCACAAAUAGUUUAUCUAGUUCUAACUUUUCAGUCUGUAGACAUUUUCUGAAAGUGUUAGUAUAGAUGUUUUAUGUUAACUAUUACAUUUAAUUAUUGUUACUUCUUGUUUAUAGAUAAUUAUUUCUUCAUUGUAUACUUUUUCCCUUUCCUACAAAAGGUCAGAGAUAAUUUUGCAAGGUUGAAAUUUUGGGACACUGUCUGUAAAUAAUCUGCUAGUUUUAAAUUGUUAUAUUUAUACUGAUGUUAGAAGAGCAGUUCUUUUUUGGUAGCUCUGUGAAGUAGUAAAUAUCAUCCCUGACUUUACAUGACAAAUAUUUUAUUAGAAGUGCAAAGCAGUGUUUAAAUCAUGUAAAAUCUUAGCUUAAUUUAGUAUUAUUUUCUGUACAUGGAGAGAAACGUGUGCAUAUACGGGAAGUAAUUGUAUGCAUUGGAGCAUUUGUGGUAUAAUCAUUGUAAAGUGUCAUAUACUUUAAAUCUUAAGUGUCUUCCAAAUUUCUUGACCUGCCUCUUGGCAGGAUUUUAGAAUACUGAUUUGAUUUCACAUAGAACAGUGUACAUACCUAUUGUGUGAGCAGUUUGAGAACUCCCUUAUGGGACAUAUACUUAUUCUAAAAUGAUAUGAGACACAAUUUUUUUUUUUUUUUUUUUUUUUUUUGGUCCAUCCCUUACAGAUGUACUCCAUUCUGUUACAGUUUAAUCUUGAGGAAACAAUGAGAGGGUUUGGAAAUCAUUUUCCACUGAAUGACUCAGCGAUCUCUUGAAAAUAUUUACUAACUUGCAAGAGAAGCUGAAAUUGCAAUCGUUUUAGUAGUUAAUUACAAAAGUGUCAUUAACAUAGAGCAACUUUUAGAAAAUACAGAAACAGCUAGAAUAUUUUAUUUAUUGUAAUUUCACAUGCCUUUUCUUUUUAUAUGCAUUCCUUAAAAAAAAUAAUUUGUAUAUCUGAUGUCAUUGCUUCUAAAUCAAGCCACCUUGAUCUCACCACUUACAGGAAUUCUGUUUACCUGUGUUUCUUGUACCCAUCUGGCAAUAUUAUGAGAAUAUGCCCUGCCCGCUGAAAACCAAAGUGAUUCUCAUUAACAAAUACAUUACAUAAGGAAGGUCCCUUUAAUUAAGAAAAUUAUUUUUAUUAUUAUUUUUUUUUUUUGUCUUUUUGCCAUUUCUUGGGCCACUCCCAUGGCAUAUGGAGCUUCCCAGGCUAGGGGUCAGAUCAGAGCUGUAGCAACUGGCCUACGCCAGAGCCACAGCAACACGGGAUCUGAGCCACAUCUGCAGCCUACACCACAGCUCACGGCAACGCUGGAUCCCUAACUCACUGAGCAAGGCCAGAGAUUGAACCCACAACCUCAUGGUUCCUAGUCGGAUUCAUUAACCACUGAGCCAUGAUGGGAACUCCAAGAAAAUUAUUUAAGUGGGAUAACAAAGUAAUACAUUUGAAAAUAUAACAGUGUAUGCUCAAAAAGAAUUCAUUCAGUUCUUUUAUAAAACCCCCCUUUCUUUCUACUUUCUUCCUUUAUUCAGUCACACUCACAUCUGCAUUUUAUGUAAAACCGCAAGUUUUGGAACUUCUUCCAGUUCUUACUUUGCUCAUCCAGACGUUCCAGUGCCCAGCUCUCCCACAUCUGCCUCAGUAGUACUUCUCAGGAUUUCCUGGCUGUUGAUAUCCCCACAUCUCCCUGUUCCUCAACACAGACCGGAAGGAACAAUGUCGAACAGACUUCCUAUCUAUUUUUCCCGAUACCCAUAUUAAAAACCAGUAAUAUCUUCUAAUUCCUUCCAGAAUCAAAUGAAAUACCACAGAUUUAAUAUGUUAAUGUGCCUUUCUUUUCUCUCCUUCAUCUACCACUUCUACUAAUCCCUUGGCUUUAAGAAAACCACCUAAAGAUUGUGUUACGUUAAGAAGUUUUCCUGGGACUUCCCUGGUAGCUCGGGCGUUAAGAAUCCAGUGCUGUCACUGCUGUGGCUCAGGUCGCUGCUGAGGUGCAGAUUCAAUCCCUGGCCUGUAGGCUGUGGGCAGGGCCUCCCACCUCACCCCUCCACUGCCGCCGCCAAAAAAAAAAAAAAAAAAAAACAUUUUCCUGUAUACCCAUGGCUGAGAUAGAUGCCUUCCUUCUGACUUCCCAAGACAUCCUGGGCUUAUUCUAAUCAUAAAAUUAGAAUUAACUGUCUGUUAAUAUUUCUAUCUACCCCUCAAAAUUGCAAGUUCCUUGCAGGACAGGAAUUCCGGUUUGUUUAUGUCUCUGUGUUCAGUAUAUGUUGUUUGACUGAGUACUACCUCUUUCUGUACAUAGGUUCCCCAUUGGCUUAAUGUCAUCACCUUUGUCCAGACUUCCCUCCUCUCCUUUUGAAACUGACAGCACUAACAGCCUGAACCUAGCCAGAACACAGAUUGGGACUUAAACCCACCUGCCGGGACUCAAAACCAGCCUAAACCCAGAUUGGGACUUGAACCCACAUUUAGCACUCACCUGAUGUCUGGACCUACUGAGGUUCAGGUUCUUUAUGCCUCAGCUCAGAGUCACAAAGAAGGAAUUCAGCGAGAGACAAAGUGAUAGGCAAGAAAUAGAUUUAUUAGGAUAGGAUGCUUGUGAGAGAUGCAAGAGAGCUGGCAAGGAGGCUCUGCCCCAAGUAUCUGGUGGGCUACAGUUUUGUCAUCCAAGGGGAGUCGGGAUCAGAAAAGACCACCUCUUCCUGCCUCGUGUCCUCUUUCUUGUAGUGGUAGCUCCUCCUUAGUAUCCUGCAAGAUGUGUAUUCAAAUCAGCAGAAGGGCGGUCCUCAACUCCUGCACUUGGUCCAAAGCUAAAUGCAGGCCUCAUCCUAUCCCCCACCUGAUGACCUGAGGCAGUUCUCAAACUUCCACUAGUUGAGCAAGGCUGUCUAGUUCUGAUGGCUUUUUUGAACAAUUUUUUAACUUACAGUGAUCUCCCAACCUCCCCUAGGUUUCCUUCUGUCUGAUCCUUCAUUAGGACUUCUACAGCUACCUGUGCCUACUCCUUCCCUAUCACUUUUACCCAGUGUGACUCAUUGAUUUCCAUCCUUGAAUAUAAAAAAUUUUCCUUUACCUCUGCACCCAACUCUGAGCUUUGAAUAUUGCUCAUGAACCACGUCUUCUCUGAAACCUCACCAUGCCAACCAUGUCAGUAGUUUUUAAAAGCUUCAAUCUGUUAAGCACCAUAUUUAUAAAUGUUUGGCUUUAUGUCUUUUUGUGUAUUUAUAUUUGUUCACUUGAGGGCCUUGUUUACAGAAGGUUGCUCUCUUCUUCCCAAGGCUCUCAUAAAAAGUGAGGACAUACUGCCUGAAUAAUAUUACUUUAAUAUGUUUUUAUUCAUUGCCUGUAUUUUGACUGUAUUGUAGAGUUUGUAUCCCUUGCUAGCAUCACAAACUAGCUUUUACCAUUUAUAUUACUUUCUUUCAAAUUUUAUUGAACUUAUAUUAUAUUACAAUGUUAUAAUUGACUUAUAAUAUUUGUUAGUUUCAGGUGUACGCCAAAGUGAGUCAGUUAUAACUAUAUAUGUACCCAUUGUUUCUUUCCACAUAGGUUAUUACAGACUAUUGAGUAGAUUUCCCUGUGCUUUUUAUAUCUAUUUUAUAUAUAGUAGUGUGUCUUAUACUAUAGGACCCUACUUUAUCCACUGCCCCCACCUUUGGCAACCGUAAGUUUGAUUUUGAAAUCUGUGUGUUUUAUUCUGUUUUAAAAAUAAGUUCUUUUGGAGUUCCCGUCGUGGCUCAGUGGUCAAGGAAUCCAACUAGGAACCAUGAGGUUGCAGGUUCAAUUCCUGACCUUGCUCAGUGGGUUGGGGAUCCGGCGUUGCCAUGAGCUGUGGUGUGGGUUGCAGACGUGGCUCAGAUCCCGCGUUGCUGUGGCUCUGGCAUAGGCCGGCAGCUACAGCUCUGAUUCAACCCCUUGCCUGGGAACCUCCAUAUGCCGCAGGAGCGGCCCUAGGAAAGGCAAAAAGACAAAAAAAUAGAAUAAAAAUAAGUUCUUUUGUAUCAUUUUUAUUAGAUUCCACAUAUAAGUGAUAUCAUAUGAUAUUUAUCUUUCUGACUUUAGUUAUUAUGAUAAUCUCUAGGCUCAUCCAUGUUGCUGCAAAUGGCAUCAUUUCAUUCUUUUUUAUGGCUGAGUAAUAUUCCAUUGUAUAUAUGUACCAUAUUUUAUUUAUUCAUUCCUCUACUGAUUUAGGUUUCUUUCAUGUCUUGGCUAUUGUAAAUAGUGCUGCAGUGAACAUACAGAUGUAUGUAUCUUUUUGAAUUACAGUUUUCUCUGGAUAUACGCCCAGGAAUGGGGUUGCUGGAUUGUAUGGUAGUUCUAUAUUUGUUUUUUUUUUAAGGAAAUUCCAUACUGUUCUCCAUAGCAAUUGCACCAACUUACCUUCCCACCAACAGUGUAGGAGGGUUCCCUUUUCUCCACACCAUCUCCAUUUAUUGUUUGUAGGCCAUUCUGACUGGUGUUAGGUGAAACCUUUUGUUUAUAUUUCUCAUGCUGAGAUUGAUAUAGGAUGAAGCUCUAUGAGAUUAUAACUGAGAUGAUUUUAAAGCAAUUCAAUUUAAUAAAAUCAAAUUUAGCUAUAUAAAUUAAUAAAAGUGUUUAUUACCUUUGAAACUUGGAAGGAUUUUAAGAAUUCUUACAUUUAAGUUUUUGUCAUAUAUAUUUAAAUAUUUUAUAAAAAUCAUAAUUAAUAGUUUAAUUUUAUCCAAACAGUGUUAUUUUACUUCAUUUUUUGAAGCAAUAUGUAUUUGAUUGUACUUUAUAUCUGUAUUUCAAUUUUGUAGUUUGUGAAAAUUGCUAUUUGACUAACCCUCAUUCAGCAAAGGCAACAAGUAGUUCUGAGACAAAAGUUUUCAGAAUCAUUUCCUUGGUUCUUAGUCUUAUUUAUUUUAUGUGCAAAAGACACUCAGUUACUACACAUGCCAUAGCUUACAAAGUUAAUAAAACAUUUGUCCAGUUAAAUUUAUUUGAAAAUAGAUAUAUAGUUAAUGUCAGUAAGGUGCUUUGAAGAUAAAAAGCACAAUAACUGUUAGUUAUUAUCAUUAUGUAAUUAUUAUCAUUAUUAUUAUUACAUAGUGUCUGCUUAAAAAUACCUUUGGUUACUCUGGGGUGGCUGUAACUAAUGAGAAGGGUUAAUCUGCUGGAUUUUCUCCAGAACUAAGGAUUUGAGACUUCAUACACUAAAGGGGGUCUCCCCCCAAAUAGAUUAAGAGAUACGUUUGUUUAUUUUCUUCCGUAAAGAAAAAUAAACUUCCUAUGAUGCAGAAGCAUUAGAACUCAUUUUGAGUAGUUUGAAUGUUUUCUUAUAUAGUCUCUCAAAAAAUGUCUGAGGAGUAAGCGUAGGUCUUCUGAAAGGGUUCUAAAAACAUAGGGAUUGAUUUCUAACUAGUCAAAACCCUUUAUUUCUUAACUAUUUCUGAGUUGUCUAAAAGCCCAAGUUUAUAAUUUGUAUGUACUAAAAAAAUAGAGCAUGAUUAUAGGAAGAAAAUGAGUUUAAUUCUUAUUACAAAAAGGAAAAGUUACCCCUUUGGAAAGUUAUAAAAGUGACUUUAACUAAUUGCAUAAAUUAACACCCUGAGAGUAUUUUACAGAAGAUUCUUUAGAUUAUUCUUUAGAAACAAGACUUCAAGAUUAAGCCAAAUUCCUUAUAAGAUGCUGCAAAGAUUGUCAUCCACUGUCAGAGAUAAAGGAAGUAGUGAAACAUUUUAACAGGCAGAUGUAUGGAAGUCACAUGUACACCCAGCCUCAUAAUCAGGAAGACAUUAGCGACAUGUCUGAAGAAGACAUUCCCUAAUAUUAUUGCAAAUUAAAUAAGAAAAGACCUCAAGAGAAUGAAAAGAGAAAAGGUGCCUGGAGCCAAUGAAUUACAAUUGACAACCUAAAGGCAGUUGAAGAACCAAUUGCUAGAGUGAUUGCAAAGCUAUUCAUAGUGUGCAGCAGACAGAGCACAGCGUAAAGCUGGAACAAUGCCUCCAGUUCAGCAAUAUUGCUUCAAAAGAAUGGAAAGAGGGGAACGGGAAGAGCCACUGACCCUGAGACCAAUUUCCAGGCAGCUGCACAAACUAUAUACUGUAAUUAAAGGUUUUGACCAGUAAUCACAGCAAAGCCAGACUACAGAAAGUCUAGGAAACCAGCAAGGUUUCUAAUGAGGCAGACAUCCUUAACUUAAAACAUAGAAAAAGCAGGUAAGAAAACCAGUCCAUUUCUGGCAGUGACUUUGAAAAGCUCUGCUGUGUUAGCACAAAUAUGAAAAUCACAUAUUUUGGCCUUCUUCCUAUAAGGACAAAAGCACGUAAUGAAAGAUACCUGCUUUCAUCUUUCUAGAUGAAUAGAAUACUCUGCUACUUAGAAACAGGCAUUUUCUUCUUUUCACUUUAUGUUUUUUCUUUACCUAUUAAUUGCUUGUGCCUUUGAUGGGAACAAUGAACUGUAGACGUGGGCAGUGGUAGAGACAAGAGACUGAAUGAUGUUUAGAAGUGGCCACUCUUCUAGUGCGUCUGGGCUGCAGUAGAGAUGAACUAAUCCACACCUGAGUACUUUGUCUAUAGGACUUCUUAUACCUUUUGUUUACUGGUGUCUAGACACUCUCAUUCUUUUUCUUUCUUUAGUAAUAUCUCUUUGUGUAGAAUCUCAUAUUCACUCACGACUCUAUUAUUAUUGAAAUUAUUAUUGAAAUAUUCACAUAACCACUUUGAGUAUGUGUUUUUGGUUUUUUUUUUUUUUAAGAAAAGGGAUACAGUGGUUUAAAUAAUGGUGAGAUGCAGACUUUCAGUACAAACAAGAAGGGGUUCUUACAAGAGUCCAAUGAACAAAAAUAGCAUCUCGUUUUGCAGGUACCCCAUAGUUCCCUCCUGACUUGGGCCUAUUAAGGUCUUUACUGGAAAUUCUAAAAUGUAAAUUUCAUAUAAAUCUUUGACCAAAAAAUUUGAAAACAAGAACCUUGACAAGCUUUUUUUUUUUUUAACUACUUGAAUGUAAAGGGAAAGAGCCAAGUAGAAUUUCAUUUUGUUUUAUUCAGGUUUAAAGUUAAAUAUAUUCCACUGUCUGAACUGAGUAGUGUUAAAGUACAGAGUACAUAGACUGAGUUUAGUUCAUUCCACACCUGAAGUGAGAUUAUGGAGGUUUACAAGAAGCUGAGCGAGGAAGUUCAGACAGUAAAUAGCUCUAUCAAAUAACUGGAGUUAUUUUCAUAAAUGAUAAGUGAAAUCCCCUGAGCCUUAAUGGGAAGAAGAUUCUGUGUAUGAACUGUGAAAUAAUGUGGAGGUUGCAUAGACUGAUAUAAUUUUAACAUGGAGAAUUUAUAAUAUAGUAUUUAUUUUUAGACUGCAGUUAUGACUAAUAAUUUGUCAAGCCAAAACAAGUCUUUAUUGAAAGGGGCCAGAGUGGAAAAUCUGGAUAACUUGUGUAUAGUUUAGACAAGGAGAACAAAGAAAUAAUGAAAUGAAAAUAAGUGCUUGGCAAGGGAGUCCUUAGAGGACAGCUGGUUGAAGAAUUACAGUUGUUAACGGUGCUAUAAAAGAAAGAUAUUCUCUCAUCAUGAUUUAGCAUAUUGUACUGAGGAGAAGACUGAAUAAUCACUAGUGGGAUCCUGAAAAAUAAAGCAAAAAAGAUCUUGAGAUAGAGGUAUAAUUGAUAUGCAGUAAGUAGUAUCAUCAUUACUGUUAUUAUUAUUAUGCAAAAGCAGAUCAAGUGCCCUGAUUUUCCAAAACAUAAAAACAUAAAUUCUUAAGAAAGAACACCUUUCUCAUUACAAUUUAUUCACUUCUGAAAGAGUUUCAUUUAAAAUGGUACUUGUCAAACUUAUCAGAAAGUGAAGUUUAAAUAUCAUUUGAAUGGGUGGAGAUUCAUAAGUAUAAAAAUGCAUGUUUCUGCAGGUUUGGGACAAAAAAAAUGAUAACCAAAUUUCUGUGUUUUUAUAUUGACUGAUUUUUUUUUUCUUUAAAGGUCAGGUUUCAGUAUCUUUCUACUUUCGCCUUAAUAGUAGCUUUUAAUGAUUUUUAUAUUAAACAAGAUCAUUUUUUAGGUGAAAAAGGAAAACACACUACAAAACAUGAGAUCACUAGAUCACUUGAGCCUGUUACACUUAACAGAAGUUUUAUUAAUUUGACUAUUUCUUUUCCACUUUACCAAAAUUUCUCUCUCUUCUUUUUUUUUUUUUUUUUCUUUUCCCUUUUGUCUUCUGAACUAUAUCAGCAGUUUUCCGUUCUAGGGAAGUACAGACUUUCUGUAAUGAUCUGAAUGUUCAAUGCCCUUUAAUUAUUUGGAACAUUAGUUAUAGCCGUGUCGAUGCACGAAGUGUAGAAUAUUUUGUUGAAUCUGCACUAACUCCAUAUGAGGCUCUAGACAUUGCUUUUUUUGGUAAAAUGCCGGAUACAAAUCUGUGGUUUCGUACUUUCAUCUGUUGAAAAUGGAAUACAAAAAUUCCUUUAGUACUUGUUUACUUGUUCUUAUUUGGAUUCUAGUUAGUCAAGAUUUUGUCAUAUGGUUCUUUAGCCACCCUAAAGCUAAACUGAGAAAUGUGUACUAUUAAAAAAUAUCAUAUUUUUAAGAUGUUUAGAACCGUAAUUCUUGGGCUUACUCUCAUUGAAAUUAUAUUAUUUAGGAUAACAACUCUCCUGUAGCUUUGUUUGAAUACAAGUAUACACAUUUGUAAGGAAUUGUAGUUACAAUUACUUGAUCCAGUCUCUAUCAAUUAAGAUUAUUUAACUCACAUCCUAUAGAAAAUAUAUGUCUGUUGUUUUUAUUUGAAUCUCUAUGGAAUAUUACAUAUCUUUAAAAAUCCAUUCAGUCUCAUUUUCAUUAAUACUCAGAAUGAUUAAUAAAACCACAUGGUAACACCUUUAAAAGGGAUACAAAAAAGUAUACAGUGGAAAGUAUUCUUUACUCCUCAUGUGCCCUGUUCCACUGUAAUCUGUAACCCUCUACCUUUAGCCAGGCUACAUUGUUAUAAAAUUUUAGAUGUAAAAUGUUAGAAACACCAACCUAAUCAGUUUUGCUUAAUACAAUGAAAUAUGGACUAUAAGUUAGUGAAUGUAUUUAUCUUAAAGAUCCUACUUAUGAGAUACUUCCAAUCAUUUAAAGAAAAGUGAUUUUAAUCAUUUAGUCUCUAGAUUGUUCCUAUGAGUUUUAAGCAGUUUAUGGAGUCAGAUGAUGAUUACAUGAAAAAGAUAUGUUUGAUUGUAUGAGGAUAUAUAUUUAAGGAGUCAGACUCAAAUUAUUUUCAUUAUGAAAAUUUCAAACAUAGAGAUAAGUACAGAAAAUAACAGAGAAAGUCAUCCACCCAUCACCCAGAUUUAACACAUAUCAACAUUUUUACCAUAUUCGUUUCAGAGCUUUCCUUUAAAGAAAUAAAUCAUUAAGAUCCUUUAAAGGCCUUUUUCCUCACUCCUUCAAAAGUGAGUCUAUGUUUUAAGGCAUGAUUGCACCAUGAUUUUUAUUCAUUUUUUUCUCUUAUUGAUGAACUUUUAGGUAGUUUCUAGAUGUUUGAGAUUGUAAACAAAAUUGUUGAUGAUUAUCUUUGUACACGUUUCCUUGUGUAUACAUGCAAUCAUUUCUCAAGUGUGUAAAACUGGAAUUACCGAGUCCAAGGACAUACACGUGUUAAACUUGAGGGGUGUUUAAUUUGGCAUUUGGGCUUUGGAGAUGACAGUAAGAUGCUGAAAUCAGAAUCUGGUUUUAAGUCCUUCGUACAGUUGUCCAGUGGAGAAAAUGGGGGCAAGCACUUAAAUCUGUUUCCUCAUCUGUAAAAUGGGGAUAAUCCUAGAACCCACCUCAUAGCAAACAGUGAGGAUUAAAUGAGAACUGAGCCCAGGAGAGUGUCCUCAGCCAGUGUUAACUGUUGUUCCUCCCCCUCCUCUAGACGAGGAUGUUGUGAGGAUUAAACGGUACUUAUAACCUUGCCCAGUACAGUGGCUCAGUAGUGCUCAUUAGAUACACAAAAAUGAGACAGAAAACAAGCCAUCUAAGCACAGUAUAUGUAUAUGCUUUUGAGGGCGCACAAGAAUAAAUUACAAAUACAAAAAAACCCCCAUAGCAUUCAAAAGGAAAACAAAGACAGUGAAGGCCUUAUCCAUCCCUCACAAUUUUUGUAGAUUAGUUAUAAGCGAUUAAUUUAUUUUACAUGCUUUCAUAUACACAGAGUUCUUGUCAGAAACUUUUUUUUUUUAAAUUACUAAGCCAAUUAAACAUCCUUUCUUCUUUUGUUGUGAGCAAACUGGGAAGAUCAAAUCUUUCAGUGAUUUUCAUUUGCACAAUUUGCUGGUAAAGCUUGGUUCUUUAUGUUCCAGAUAGAUCAUUCUGUCUUAAUUUUUUUAAAUGUCAGUUUGACAGUACUGUUAAGUUAGUAGCUUUAUCUUAAAAAAAAAAAAAAA